UUAUUCUUGACUUCCCACCCAGCAACUUCCUAUCUCAAAAUCGCCCCUUUCGUUUUUCUCCAAAUCCCUAAAAUACCCAAAAACCCUAACCUAAAAUAAGAUUGAAAUUCGAGAAAAAAAUCCGUUAGAUUUCGAGAGACUAAAAGAGAAGAGAAAAGGACGGAGAAUGGAUUCAGAUCAGGGGAAGUUGUUUAUCGGCGGUAUAUCAUGGGAAACAAACGAAGAUAGGCUAAAGGAAUACUUUGGUCAAUACGGCGACAUCUUGCAGACUGUUGUUAUGAGAGAUAAGCUUACUGGUAGACCUCGAGGUUUUGGAUUCGUUGUCUUCUCAGAUCCGUCCGUCCUCGAUGCUGUUCUUCAAGAGAAGCACACCAUCGAUGGUAGAACGGUUGAGGCAAAGAGGGCUUUAUCUAGAGAGGAGCAGCAAACAUCUGCUAGAUCUGGUAAUUUUAAUCAGGGUAGAAAUUCUGGAGGUGAUGGGAAUGUCAGGACCAAGAAGAUUUUCGUUGGAGGGUUGCCUCCGACCUUAACUGAAGACGGGUUUCGUGAAUACUUUGAGGCUUAUGGUCAUGUGACCGAUGUAGUAAUCAUGUAUGACCAGAAUACUCAACGGCCUCGAGGAUUUGGUUUUAUCUCCUUUGACACUGAAGAUGCAGUUGAUAGGGUUUUGCACAAAAAUUUUCAUGAUUUGGAUGGCAAAUCAGUUGAAGUGAAGCGGGCUCUUCCUAAAGAUGCCAAUCCUGGUGGGGUUAGUCGAACUUCGAGUGGCAGUUCUGGUGGUUUUGGAGGUUACCAGAGUUAUGGUUCUUCUGGUGGGAAUUCAAAUUCUUAUGAUGGUCGAAUGGACUCCAACAGCUACAUGCGCGCCCAGGGUACUGGAGCUGGCUUUCCACCUUAUGGCUCGUCAGGAUAUGCACCUUGUUACGGUUACGGUCCUGCUAAUAGUGGUGUUGGCUAUGGUAGUUAUGGCAAUUAUGGUGCUGCAGGUGCUGGUUAUGGUGCUCCUGCAGGUGCAGCUUAUGGGAAUCCCAAUGCUGGUUAUGCAAGUGGGCCUCCUGGUGCCCCUAGGAGUUCAUGGGGCGCUCAAAAUCCAACUGGUUAUGGUGCUAUGGGUUAUGAAAAUGCUGCUCCUUGGGGUGCUGGUACUGGUGGCCCAGGUUCUGCAGUUACUGCCCAAUCUUCCACUGGAGCAGCUAGGUACGGGAAUCAAGGUUAUGGAUAUGGUGGAUAUGGAGGAAGUGAUGAAUCGUAUGGGAAUGCUGGAUAUGGGGCUGCUGGAGGUCGUUCUGGUGGUAUACCAAAUAAUAAUGCCGGUUCGGGUGGGGGAGAUCUGCAAGGGAGUGGUGGUGGUUACAUGGGAAGUGGAUACGGUGAUGUAAAUGGAAGUUCAGGGUAUGGUAAUGCGUCAUGGAGGUCUGAUUCAUCCCAAGGUUCUGGAAAUUAUGGGGGUGCUAAUGCAAAUGGUACUCAUGGAGGACAAGGCGGUUAUGGUGGUGGGUACGGUGGUGCACAGGGCCUACAAGCUCCACAACAGUGAUUAUAUGACUGGAAAAAACAACUUGAUCUUGACCUCUUCUGUGCAUAACCUUCCCUUUGCAGUUUGCUGUUGUAAUUGUGAUGGUUUCUUACUCCCAGAAGUGACAGGGGAGGCUCAAGCUGGAUGCCAAGUUUCCUUGGGACUGGUGGAGAGAUGCUCGAGAGUUCAAAGGUGGAGUCAAGUGUCCACUCAUGGCUCAACCCGACCUUUGUGGUGGGGGUUGUUCAGUGUGGGAUUUGUUUGGCAGAGGACUUGCUCGGUUGAAAUUUUGAAUUAACAUGAGAUGAGAGAGGCCCUUCCCCUCCCCGGAGCUGCCCCAACACUGCAAAUACAAAAGCUUCCCCUAUCUUCAUCCAGGUUCUGUGGGGGGUUUAUUCAGAUCGAAUUGGAUUAGUGAAGCAAACUGCUUGGGGACCUGGCGGAUCAAGAUUGCAGUACUCGCUAAUCAUUGAGUGUGCUUGGAAUAGACCUUAUAGCAUUGGGAGGGAGUAUGUCCUUCGCAUUAGUUUUGGAAUGAAUUAAUUGAGUUCUUUCCAACAUUUAAUGCCGGGGGCCUGUCUUCCAAUUUACUGGCAGUAGGUUAAAUCUACUAAAUUCUGCUGGGAACCUCACAUUAUUAGUAAUUUAUUCAUUAUUAUAGGAAGUUGAACAGAGUUUUGGUUGGUGGAAGGAGUUAAGACAUUGUUUUAAGGAUUUUAAUGAUGAAAGCAUUUAGUAUCAAGGAUUUUAGAUAGAAACUCAGCCUUUUUUUCCAUCUUAUCAAUAGAGGUAUUCAUUUGAUGAGCUAUAAGCUAAUCAGGUUUGUUUAGGUAGUUGAUAAAUUUGCUGUUAUUGCAAAGAGGGUUGAAAAGGUCGGUCGAAGGUCAUUGAUCGGCAAUGGUUGCAUAGCAUCUAUUAGGAUUUGGCUGCCUUGCUUGGCUUAUUAUAUAUGGUGAAUGAAACCUUGGGAUGGAUAACCGGGUGCAUGGAAUUGUCAUGACAUCCAAACAUAAGAAGAAGCCAUUCUAAAUGCUCUCAAAUCAUCUUGUUGGAGUGCUUGUAAAAUGGUUAUGGAAGAUCAACAAAAUAUGUAACAUGUAGAAUGCCAAGAUUAACUUCGGUUUACAAGGAUUACAUUUGUCAAGAAAUACAUGAUACAUGCGUACCCUGAA